rnacentral:snRNA from 2 species
AUGCUCAAUUUCAAUAGCACUUACACUAAAGUUAUAACAAUACAAGAAAGACUGGCAGUCCCCUGCACACGAAUGACACGCCAAGUUGUAACAUUCUAUAUUUUA